GAAAUGCGAUAAGUAAUGUGAAUUGCAGAAUUCAGUGAAUCAUCGAAUCUUUGAACGCACCUUGGGCUCCUUGGUAUUCCUUGGAGCAUGCCUGUUUGAGUAUCAUGAAAUCUUCAAAGUAAAUCUUUUGUUAACUCAAUUGGUUUCUACUUUGGUAUUGGAGGUCUUUGCAGCUUCACACCUGCUCCUCUUUGUUCAUUAGCUGGAUCUCAGUGUUAUGCUUGGUUCCACUCGGCGUGAUAAGUUAUCUAUCGCUGAGGACACUGUAAAAGGUGGCCAAGGUAAAUGCAGAUGAACCGCUUCUAAUAGUCCAUUGACUUGGACAAUACUUUUAUGAUCUGAUCUCAAAUCAGGUAGGACUACCCGCUGAACUUAAGC
rnacentral:misc_RNA from 1 species